rnacentral:lncRNA from 1 species
GCAAGGGUGGCUGGGGGCGGGGGGAGGGGGGCGGAGGCGAAAACCAGGCAGGGGUUGGUCCGUGGUGCAAGGCUGGAAUUUUAGGCCCCGCAGGGAACUUAGAGAUCGGUUCAACCGCCUGAUUUUAAUCAUAUUUAAAUUGAGGUCCAGAAAGGUGAGGUAGUUUGUCGAAGGUCACCCAGCAACUUGUGAGCAAGCAGGCCUUCAACACUGGUCGUCCGACCUGGUCUUGCACUUUUCAUCCUAUAAUACUACGCAGAUACACAAGUAGUGAAGAUGACGAAACUCACCAGAGACCUCAUAGCUAAAGAAUGGCCAGCCUGUGUUUUGAAUCUAGGCAAUCUGGACCCCAGAGCCGUCCAGCCUAAAGGUGGGACCUCUGAGAGGUGAUUAGCUGUGAAGGCAGAGCCGUCCUGAAUGGGAUUAAUGCCCUUGUGAAAGAGACCCCAGGGAGUUCCCUCACCCCUUCCACCGUGGAGGACAGCACAAAGAUGGACAUCUGUGAACCAGGAAGUGGGCUCUCACCAGACACUGAAUCUGCCAGUGCCUUAAUCUUGGACUUCUCAGCCUCCAGAACUGUGAAGGAUAUAUAUUUCUCAAUUUUUGCUGUUUAUGAGCCACCCAGUUUAUGGUGUUCUGUUAUAGCAGCCCAAAUUGACUAAUACAUAUGUAAAAGUAAACAAACAAAUAGUUUAAAAAUCAGCUGUCCUGUUCCUUAACUUGCUCUAAUUGGCCCUACAAGAAGUAUGUGACAGUUCCCCCUAACAUCACAUCUGACACAUGUUGGAGUGGAGGGCUCGAUGACUCUUUAUGGAAUUUUGAUUUAUCUUAGUUUCUCUAUAAUAAAAGUAAAUAUCUUUUCUUAUUUUAGAGCAGUAUAAAGCUCACAAAUGUGUUCUCCUUUUGAUGAGGAUUUUUAGGCUGGUUACUUUUAAAACUGCAGAUGAGAAGCAGGCUCCAAGGACUGGAAUUUUGCUUGCCCUUUUGAGAGACAUUUGCGUUUGUGAAGGAAGGGGGUAUGAGCUUGUAGGGACCUGAAAUUGGCCAUCCCAAGAUAUGUCUCUUUGGCAUCGGGAUUGUUUUGGGCUGAUUGCUUUUGAUAAACUGGGACAGGGAGGGAAGCUCUGGGGAAUGGAACUUGCCCUUGUUGGGACACAUUUACAUUUGUAACGUAAAUCUCUAUCUGUAAGAGGUGCCUCCCUCUCUGUACCAGGAAGAAGAAGAGAGAUGACCUUAUCCCUAGAAACUCUUAAUGGGGAAGGCAAGAACUUAAGUUGGUUGCUGUCUGGCAAUCUCAUGUAACUGAUUUAGGGUGGUGGCUUCUGACCUUUACUUAAUCCGAUUUGAUUCUUGUCCAAAAGUCAUGGGAUCACCCAACGACCAGACCCCACCUGCACUGAUACCAUUUUAACUUUUUUUCAUGUUCUUUCCUUUGUCUUGUAAAGAAAUGACUCACAUACCCAUGCCUUAUAAAAUUAGCCCUAACCCUCAACUCGGGGCAGCAGCAGGAGCUCUGACUGCCCGUGGGUCCUGUCCCCACGUACCAGCUCUGCCUGCCCAUGGGUCCUGUCCCCAUGCCAGCGGGGGCAGCAGCAGCGGCUCUGCCUGCCCAUGGGCCCUGUCCCCAUGCUAUUCUAUUCUCUAAAUAAAAGAGCACUACUGCCAGAUCUUAAGAGUCUAAGAAAUCUUUCUUUCGACUUCUCGGCUCACCAACCCCGCAUCACUUUCACACACAUACAUACACUAAUAAAUCACCAGGAAGAAACAGCAAAUUCUUCCUACAAACCCCUAAAUGAGAGCAUUUCCCAUGUGAACAUAGAGGGUCCCAGUUGGAAGCAUGCUUCCACUUAAAGUGCUCUCACCCCUAGGGGCCGGCCCUGUGGCGCAGCAGUUAAGUGUGCAUGUUCUGCUUUGGCGGCCCAGGGUUCCCCGGUUCGGAUCCCGGGUGCAGACAUGGCACCACCUGGCACGCUAUGCUGUGGUAGGCAUCCCACAUAUAAAGUAGAGGAAGAUGGGCAUGGAUGUUACCUCAGGGCCAGUCUUCCUCAGCAAAAAGAGCGGGAUUGGCAGCAGUUAGCUCAGGGUAAUCUUCCUCCAAAAAAAAAAAAAGUGCCCUCACCCCUUCAUCUUGUAUAUGGAAAAAAACAGGCCCACAGAUGUGAAUAAGAUUACCACCUACAGCCCCUAACGAAUUAAUGGAUCUCAGUAAUAAUCAUCAUAGGCUACUAAUAGCAUGACAAGAAGAACAACCAGUCCAAACCAAUUAAAUCAGAAUCUUUUAAGGUGGGACUCAGGCAUCAAUAUAUUAAAAAACCCCUCCAGUAAUUACAACAUGCAGUCAAGUCUGAGAACCACAGCAGGUUAGGAGAGG